AAGAGGAAAACAAAAGAAACUCGCUAAAGUAAAAGUGAACCUAUACAUAGCUUGUCUAAAAAAUGGCGGACAGUUCGUUGCUAACUAACGCGCCCGAUUAAUCGAUCGCUGAUUGGUAAAUCAGUUCUUAGAUAAGAACUUGAUUGACAGGCGGCGUCAUGUCAAUUGUAUGUCAGGGACAUGAAACAAACACAUCUGCACUAUUGUAUUGAGGGAAAGUGCACUUUGGACCCUUUUACGAGAGUCACAUUUACAGUAGGCCCAUUAUAUAAAAAUCUUAACCUCUAUUGAUUUUGAGGUCACUAGGUCAAAGGUCAAGGUCACGGUGACCCGAAAUAGUAAAAUGGUUUCCGGAUGAUAACUCAAGAAUGCAUACGCCUAGGAUCAUGAAACUUCAUGGGUAGAUUGAUCAUGACUCGCAGAUGUCCCCUAUUGAUUUUGAGGUCACUAGGUCAAAGGUCAAGGUCACGGUGACCCGAAAUAGUAAAAUGGUUUUCGGAUGAUAACUCAAGAACGCAUAUGCCUAGGAUCAUGAAACUUCACAGGUAGAUUGAUCAUGACUCGCAGAUGACCCCUAUUGAUUUUGAGGUCACAAGGUCAAGGUCACGGUGACCCAAAAUAGUAAAAUGAUUUUCGGAUGAUAACUCAAGAACGCUUUGGCCUAGGAUCAUGACACUUCAUAGGUACAUAGAUCGUGACUCACAGAUGACCCCUAUUGAUUUUCAGGUCACUAGGUAAAAGGUCACAGUGACAAAAAUCGUAUUCACACAAUGGCUGCCACUACAACGGACAGCCCAUAUGGGGGGGCAUGCAUGUUUUACAAACAGCCCUUGUUUGAAUCAAAUUCUUAAAAAAUUUCAAGAUUCCCAGAAAAUGUUGCACGGAACAAUCUGUAAACGCACAUCGCGAAAAUAGGUCACAUGACCAUUUACACACUUUCAGUGGGUAAACCUUGUCCCGAUUCGGUGAUGAUUUUAUCAAAUCUUUUAAUAGUAACAUAUAUAUGCCAACAUUUGAUUUAAACAAAUUGCGAACGUUAUUUCGUUUUGAACUCUUGAGCACUUUUUCGUGUCAAUGUUGCUCAAAAGAAGACCGACCGAUACAACAGAAACUUGUUAAAUGGUAAAUAGAAGAUAUAAAAAAAGUUGAGUUAAUCUGUCAGUUUCUCUAAAUUUUUCAGUGAAUCGACUUUUCGAAGUUUUGUUGACCUCCUGCCUAUUACUCUCGCUUUUCGGAUGUGACCUCUCGACUCAAGGUAAACAACGCGUAUAAUGUAUGUCAUUUGCGGGUGUGUAUGGACCUAUCGGCUUUGCGUGGUUAAACACGCUGUAAAUAAACAAUUUUGACAUUGGUUGAACGGGAAUGAAAUAAAUCUUUGAAGGUACAUCGUUUAUUGCUGAUUGUUUGAAUUAAUUCAGAAAUUAUUUUAGUUGUUUCCUUAACUGCUCGACUCAAGGUAAUUGGAGGAUAUGUAACUUAGUCAUGUGAUAUGACAUAUUAGCCAUGUGUUAUGACAUGACUAAGAUGUCAUAACACAUGGCUAAGAUGUCAUAUCACAGUUCGAUAAGUAUUUUCUUGUAGUUUAUGUUGGCAAGUAGCCGUUUGUGGUCAUUUUACGUCACGAGGCAACCUAUCUCAACAAAAUAGUACAAAGUCGACGAAAAUCACCCGCCAUUUAGGCAUUUAAUCGCUGAAAAUGUUGAUGAAGGUGAUUUUUCUGUGUCAAGAGAUACCUACCUUGUUUAUAUAUAUUAUAUCAGGAAAAAAAAACA